rnacentral:rRNA from 1 species
UCUUCCGCAAUGGACGAAAGUCUGACGGAGCAACGCGGCGUGAGUGAUGAAGGUUUUCGGAUCGUAAAACUCUGUUGUUAGGGAAGAACAAGUACCGUUCGAAUAGGGCGGUACCUUGACGGUACCUAACCAGAAAGCCACGCCUAACUCCGUGCCAGCAGCCGCGGUAAUACGUAGGUGGCAAGCGUUGUCCGGAAUUAUUGGGCUUAAAGCGCGCGCAGGCGGUUGCUUAAGGCUGGUGUGAAAGCCCCCGGCUCAACCGGGGAGGGUCAUUGGAAACUGGGGAACUUGAGUGCAGAAGAGGAGAGUGGAAUUCCACGUGUAGCGGUGAAAUGCGUGGAGAUGUGGAGGAACACCAGUGGCGAAGGCGACUCUCUGGUCUGUAACUGACGCUGAGGCGCGAAAGCGUGGGGAGCGAACAG